rnacentral:rRNA from 1 species
GAUGAACGCUGGCGGCGUGCCUAAUACAUGCAAGUCGAGCGAACAGACGAGGAGCUUGCUCCUCUGACGUUAGCGGCGGACGGGUGAGUAACACGUGGAUAACCUACCUAUAAGACUGGGAUAACUUCGGGAAACCGGAGCUAAUACCGGAUAAUAUAUUGAACCGCAUGGUUCAAUAGUGAAAGACGGUUUUGCUGUCACUUAUAGAUGGAUCCGCGCCGCAUUAGCUAGUUGGUAAGGUAACGGCUUACCAAGGCAACGAUGCGUAGCCGACCUGAGAGGGUGAUCGGCCACACUGGAACUGAGACACGGUCCAGACGCCUACGGGAGGCAGCAGUAGGGAAUCUUCCGCAAUGGGCGAAAGCCUGACGGAGCAACGCCGCGUGAGUGAUGAAGGUCUUCGGAUCGUAAAACUCUGUUAUUAGGGAAGAACAAAUGUGUAAGUAACUAUGCACGUCUGGACGGUACCUAAUCAGAAAGCCACGGCUAACUACGG